rnacentral:rRNA from 1 species
UACGUAGGGUGCGAGCGUUGUCCGGAUUCACUGGGUUUAAAGGGUGCGUAGGAGGGCAGGUAAGUCAGUGGUGAAAUCCUAGAGCUUAACUCUAGAACUAGCCGUUGAUACUAUCUGUCUUGAAUAUUGUGGAGGUGAGCGGAAUAUGUCAUGUAGCGGUGAAAUGCUUAGAUAUGACAUAGAACACCAAUUGCGAAGGCAGCUCGCUACACAUAUAUUGACUCUGAGCACGAAAGCGUGGGGAUCAAACAGGAUUAGAACUACCC